rnacentral:rRNA from 1 species
GACGAACGGCUGGCGGCGUGGAUUAGGCAUGCAAGUCGGACGGUAGGGCUUUAUCGUAAGAUAGAGUUUGAGAGUGGCGAACGGGUGAGUAACACGUAGGAAUCUACCCUUAAGACGGGGACAACCCAGGGAAACUUGGGCUAAUACCGGAUGAGAGUGCGAGAGAUUGCAUUUAAAAGGAUGGCGAAAGUUGUCGCUUAGGGAUGAGCCUGCGGUCUAUUAGUUAGUUGGUGAGGUAAGAGCUCACCAAGGCGAUGAUAGAUAGGCGGCCUUAACGGGUGGUCGCCCACACUGGGAUUGAGAUACGGCCCAGACUCCUACGGGAGGCAGCAGUCGAGAAUAGUCUACAAUGGGCGAAAGCCUGAUGGAGCGACGCCGCGUGAGCGAAGAAGGCCUUCGGGUUGUAAAGCUCUGUCUGGAGGGACGAAGGAAGUGACGGUACCUCCGGAGGAAGCCACGGCUAACUACGUG